rnacentral:rRNA from 1 species
GACGAACGCUGGCGGCGUGCUUAACACAUGCAAGUCGAACGGAGAGGCCCUGCUUUUGUGGGGUGCUCGAGUGGCGAACGGGUGAGUAACACGUGAGUAACCUGCUCUUGACUUUGGUAUAACUUCAGGAAACUGGGUCUAAUACCGGAUAGGAGCUGCUGCUGCAUGGUGGGGGUUGGAAAGUUUCGGCGGUUGGGGAUGGACUCGCGGCUUAUCAGCGUGUUGGUGGGGUAGUGGCUUACCAAGGCUUUGACGGGUAGCCGGCCUGAGAGGGUGACCGGCCACAUUGGGACUGAGAUACGGCCCAGACUCCUACGGGAGGCAGCAGUGGGGAAUAUUGCACAAUGGGCGGAAGCCUGAUGCAGCAACGCCGCGUGAGGGAUGACGGCCUUCGGGUUGUAAACCGCUUUCGCCUGUGACGAAGCGUGAGUGACGGUAAUGGGUAAAGAAGCACCGGCUAACUACGUG